rnacentral:rRNA from 1 species
CCUACGGGCGGCAGCAGUCGAGAAUCAUUCACAAUGGGGGAAACCCUGAUGGUGCGACGCCGCGUGGGGGAAUGAAGGUCUUCGGAUUGUAAACCCCUGUCAUGUGGGAGCAAAUUAAAAAGAUAGUACCACAAGAGGAAGAGACGGCUAACUCUGUGCCAGCAGCCGCGGUAAUACAGAGGUCUCAAGCGUUGUUCGGAAUCACUGGGCGUAAAGCGUGCGUAGGCUGUUUCGUAAGUCGUGUGUGAAAGGCGCGGGCUCAACCCGCGGACGGCACAUGAUACUGCGAGACUAGAGUAAGGGAGGGGGAACCGGAAUUCGCGGUGUAGCAGUGAAAUGCGUAGAUAUCGAGAGGAACACUCGUGGCGAAGGCGGGUGCCUGGACAUUAACUGACGCUGAGGCACGAAGGCCAGGGGAGCGAAAGGGAUUAGAUACCCGGGUAGUC